GACGAACGCUGGCGGCGCGCUUAACACAUGCAAGUCGAGCGAUGAAACUUUAACAGAACCCUUCGGGGCGAAGAUAAAGUGGAUUAGCGGCGGACGGGUUAGUAACACGUGAGUAACCUGCCUUAGACAUUGGGAUAGCCUCGGGAAACCGGGAUUAAUACCAAAUAAAAUCAUAAUGACACAUGUCAUAACGAUCAAAACUCCGAUGGUCUAAGAUGGACUCGCGUCCCAUUAGAUAGUUGGUAGAGUAAAAACCUACCAAGGCGAGGAUGGGUAGCCGGCAUGAGAGGGUGAACGGCCACAUUGGCACUGAGAAACAGUCCAAACUCCUACGGGAGGCAGCAGUGGGGAAUAGUGCAAAAUGGAGGGAAUUCUGAUGCAGCGACGCCGCGUGAACGAAGAAGGCUUUCGAGUAGUAAAGUUCUUUUAUAUGGGAAGAUAAUGACGGUACCAUAAGAAAAAGCCCCGGCUAACUACGUG
rnacentral:rRNA from 1 species